GAUAAAGCAAAUAUUACAGUACUAUCUGGAGGUAUCCUUAUACGUUUGGGGAAUCAUCUAUGGAUUAUCAAACUGUUAAUGUGAUCCCACCUUGGCCUGUAUUAAAGAUUUGUAUGCCUCUUUAAAACUCAUGGGAUACUUUCUGUGAGACCUAACAUCUUCCGCUUUCUCCAAAUGGGGAAUAUAUUGGAUGCCAAAGAACAGGCAGAUGGUUAAGUACUUCCUGAGAAUAGGUUUAUCCUUUGAAGAUGCAAUACAAGUCAUCUGCAAUUUUGACAGGUCACUGCUUCUUGCUCCUGGGCUGUAACCUCAAUCUAACUCAACACUGUAAGGGCAGAGGCACACAGGAUGAGUUUUGUGGCAAAUAUAAAAGAGUGGAAAUACAAGAACUGUAUCUAGGGCCUGUCACCUCUGCAUCCCUGAAGUAA